UGCGUAAUGAUGGUGACAGGUGCGCGUAAUGAUGGUGACAGGUGUGUGUAAUGAUGGUGACAGGUGUGCGUAACGAUGGUGACAGGUGUGUGUAAUGAUGGUGACAGGUGUGCGUAAUGAUGGUGACAGGUGUGUGUAAUGAUGGUGACAGGUGUGUGUAAUGAUGGUGACAGGUGUGUGUAAUGAUGGUGACAGGUGUGUGUAAUGAUGGUGACAGGUGUGUGUAAUGAUGGUGACAGGUGUGUGUAAUGAUGGUGACAGGUGUGUGUAAUGAUGGUGACAGGUGUGUGUAAUGAUGGUGACAGGUGUGUGUAAUGAUGGUGACAGGUGUGUGUAAUGAUGGUGACAGGUGUGCAUAACGAUGGUGACAGGUGUGUGUAAUGAUGGUGACAGGUGUGUGUAAUGAUGGUGACAGGUGUGUGUAAUGAUGGUGACAGGUGUGUGUAAUGAUGGUGACAGGUGUGCGUAAUGAUGGUGACAGGUGUGUGUAAUGAUGGUGACAGGUGUGUGUAAUGAUGGUGACAGGUGUGUGUAAUGAUGGUGACAGGUGUGUGUAAUGAUGGUGACAGGUGUGCGUAACGAUGGUGACAGG